rnacentral:rRNA from 1 species
CCUACGGGAGGCAGCAGUGGGGAAUAUUGGGCCAUGGGCGCAAGCCUGACCCAGCAACGCCGCGUGAAGGCAGAAGGCUUUCGGGUUGGAAACAUCUUUUGUCAGGGACGUAGCAAGUGACGGUACCUGACGAAUAAGCCACGGCUAACUACGUGCCAGCAGCCGCGGUAAUACGGAGGUGGCAAGCGGUAUCCGGAUUUAGUGGGUGUAAAGGGCGUGUAGGCGGGAAUGCAAGUCAGUUGUGAAAACUAUGGGCUCAACCCAUAUCCUGCAUUUGAAACUGUAUUUCUUGAGUGCUGGAGAGGCAAUCGGAAUUCCGUGUGUAGCGGUGAAAUGCUUAGAUAUACGGAGGAACACCAGUGGCGAAGGCGGAUUGCUGGACAGUAACUGACGCUGAGGCGCGAAAGCGUGGGGAGCAAACAGGAUUAGAUACCCCUGUAGUC